rnacentral:sRNA from 1 species
CUACGUUAAACAGGUGUCCUCACCAAGUUUGGUAUCAGUAUGACCACCAGGUCAUCUAAGGAGGGCUGCACUGGCCCAGGUCAGAAAUGAAGCAGGUCAAAGCCCCUGUGCUGUCCAGUAGUGGUUUAGCGCCUGUGAGAAG